rnacentral:lncRNA from 1 species
AUUCACCUCCCUAGGGUUCAGUGACUCCUCACUAAAUGCUGGUGGCAAAGUCUCAAGAGUUACCUUUCCUGAACCAAAAAUAAUUGCUUCAGGAUUCUGCCUCAGUUGCUUUGCCUGUAGAGAUUGGGUUUCCAGUGUUUAUUUCUUUUGUAGAGUUUCUUAUUAUGGAAUGAUGUUCUGUCUUUGCUGUAGAUUCAGAUGAGGAGAUACUUCCCAUUAAUGACCACAGAUGGCCAGUGUAUUUGAUUUAUUUCCAUCCAAGACUCAAUGACUCUCCAAUGCCAGGCUCAUGAGAAAAUUGCCGGCUUGGGUGGUCACAGCUGGGGGUCUUUGCCAUGGCCCAGUGAGCACAAAGGAAGUCCGUCAGCUUGAGACCCCCAGGUAAUGGGGAUACAGAGACGAACAAAUAAGACAGGUCCUUGCAUUUAGGGAGCUGUGGUAUUGAAGAAGACUGGGAAGCAAAUAAAUGGCAGCAUAGUGUCUUAAGUGCAGCAGUAGAAAUAUAUGGGAGAAUGUUUUAAGAGCUACCUACAUUCAAAGCUUGGGACUUUGAACAAGUUGCCUACCAUCAGUGCCUGUUUACUUGUCUGUGAAACCGAAAUGUUAAAGAGUAUCUAUCUCAUAGAAUUGUGAUGAAAAUUAAAUGUCAAUUUAAUGCUCAUAUAUGGAACACUGCAUGGCACAUAAAAAGUACUUUAUCAGGGUUGGCUAUUAUAUAAAAUAUGGGGUAGCACAGAGAAUGAAACAACUAGUUAAAUUUUUGGAGAAUCAGGAAAGCUUCUUAGGAGUUGGUAUAUGAAUUGUGUUUUAAAGAAGUCUAGGAGUUCAUAAAAGUCAAAGAGCAGGAAAUACAGAAAGAGCAAAUACAAGAGAAUUCUAAUAGCCUUACUUCCCCAGGUGGUUUGAAUGAGAACCUGCACACACUUUCAGUGUACCUGCAGAUACAGCAGAUUGUAAAGGAUUGUGACUUGACAAGUUAAGUAUUUUCUCAGUCUAAUAGAGCAACUUGGAAUCAGGUAAUCUGACCCUGGGCCCAAGUGGAAUGGAUGAGGUGUUAGGCGGGGCUAACCUCCAUCAGCUCUGCACACAGGUGCAAACUGAUGCCAACAACUCAAUGACUCCUUUAUUUGCAGCAGGCUUUUUCCUGUUGACUCAUCCCUGAACACAUUUCUUUAAUAUAGUCUAAUUAGAGUAGCAUUCCAAAACAGCCUGAGAGAAUUAUGUGUUAGAAGUUUGAGGUCCCAAUCACUUACUCUCCAUCACUGCAAGCUCUAAUAAAGAUAAAUAAGGAGGAGGAGCUAAAUGAGGUCAAAUGAUUCACCUUCUUGGUGGAGGCUCAGUAACUCCUAGCUGGACUAAAGAACCUAGCUAAGAGCUGAGGCCAAAGUGGAGAAUCUCCUUAUCUUUUUUCAAGCAGAGAUAACGGGUCACCAACGGAAGUUGGCCUGACUUACCACUUGCAGGUGAAAAAUCUGGAGUAGUUGGUCUCCCAGAGGUGUCACAGCCUAGUGUGCACACCCUGUGGGAGUGGACAUAGGGGUUCAAGAACACAGCAAAUACAGAAUGGGAAAUGGAUGAACCUAACCACAUCAAAAUUCCCUCAUACAUUGUUAAGGAAUGUUUGUUAACUUAGUGGACAUAGAAAAGAUGGACUUUUGAAAAGGCACAAAUGAUUGAAUGGUAGCAGGCUACCAAAUGAACUCUUAUCCAAGUGCCUUCAAGCCUGCCUACUCCCCCAGAUUCCCCUCU